AGGAUAAGGGGUAGGCACUUUGUUUGCUGUUGGGAUAUGGCAUAGCAGAAGCCCUUAGAGCUGCUACAGGGAGCAGAGAGUGCUGAGACACUCAAGGAUUGGGGGGAUUAUGGCAGUCCUAUGGCCAUCCCACCUACUUCCACCAUGGAGAAGCAGCAAUCUGGGAUCCUUCCAGUAGGCUCUGUGGGAUUCCAGCUCUCGAAGCUGGCUGGAGCAAAGCUUUCCAAGGCCGCAUUUCGAAUCGCUCCUGGUGCAGCAGGGUGGGCUCUGGGGCACAGCUAUGAGUAUCAGCGCUCCCACUGAUUUUUCGGAUGGGUUUUGGCUGCUCAGACCUCCUGGAGCUCAGCCCAGCAUUCUCCACGUGGCGUGGCUCCAGAAAUGGAAGCACUCCAAUGUCAGGAAUCUGCAUCACAGCACUGUGCCACUACGUGAGAAACAGCAACAAAAAACAGCUGAGGGAGAAAAAGAAGUGAAACUGGCUAGUCUGAAUUCAUGAGAAAUUCAUUCCAGGGACAGAGAUUAUAUGAAAUGGUUCCCUAUCUCAGUUAUACUUGCAACAGCACUGAAAAAGAGCCACCCCACCGCCUCCCACGCUCGCCACGUUAUGCCCUGCUGGCUUUUGUGGUGUGCUCUGGGGCUCCCCGAGCUGCUAAGAGGACAGUGAUGAAGAAAGCUGCAUAUCCAAGGUGCCACUUUGGGCAUUAAAGGACAGGCUGAAGCAGGACAGGCUGAAGCGAGGCACUGUUUAUGGGUUCCUCAUAGCUUUUAUUUGGUGGGAGCAGGGAGGUAAAGGUGGCCCGGAGGAGGAAAGCACCGCAAGCUCCUGUUUACAGCAGUAUCUGCUGGUUCUGCUUAGUUUGGCCCCUUCUUACAUCUUAAACUGAAUAACUGCUGCGGUUUAUUACAGUGGAAAAAAGAGAGCUUUCAAAGCUUCAAGACGAUUUUGUUUCAGAGCACUCAACAGUGUGAGUAGGUAUGAAUGUUUGGAGCAGGUUAUCCUAAUAGAGAGUGAGCAGGAAGCCAUGUAUCUGCCUGUUCCUAUUUCAGAUGAGUGUCACUUUGCCCUAGUGACAGCAGGUUCACAGGAUACACCGAGCUGGAAUGCUGCACAGCACUCAGGUCUCUGGCUGAGAGAAAUGGCAGGGUAGCAGUGUGAGUGUCCAAACCACAGCUUUUACACAAGUGAGCUAAGAUUCCCCUCCCAAAAAUAAAAUAAAACACAACAGGCUACAAAUAUAGGAUUUUAGGGUUUAAAUCUUUUUUAAUUGGUCAUUUGUUACCUCUCUGUUGGCAGAGUGCACUUGUUUAAUAUCCAAAGCCUUUUUAAAAUACAUUGUCCUUAAAUUAUGAGUGCUUGGGAACUUGCUGCUGCUGCCUCUAACAAAAGCUGAGAUUGUUAUGAAGUAACAUCACAGAAAACAAUAAGCAAACUUGGGUAUCUUGGAUCUGCUGAAAACUUGGAAGAGUUGGCAAUGUUGUGUGCCUCCUCCUGUACCCUACGAGAGGGUCAGAGAUGUGAGCUAUUGCAAGCAAAACUGAUCUAGAGAUGUAUUUCCUUAUGAAGUCUGCUUCGUUGUAAAACUUAAGCAUUAUAUGGUAAAGCUGAGUAUAGAAGAGAAUAACUGAGUGAACACUGUGCAGUUGGCUUUGCAUGAUGCUGAAAGCAAGUGUGAAACAUCACCUGAGCUGUUAGGACCUGCUGGAGCAUUCCCUCUCGUGUUGGCCAGUGACCCAUAUGGAGCAGCAUGUUGCUGCUGAAUGGUGGCAGCUGCACCCACUGCAAUUCCCAGGCCUGGCACCCAUUCUCACAGUUGAGAUGUUGGCAAGUGAGGGAGGUGACAGGGCUCAGCCCCUGCCUCCUCCUGUUCUGGCUUGUGCAUCACAAUCCAUGCUGGCUACAGUGCCCUGGCAAGGCAGGUGUCCUGCUCUUGCUGCACACAACCAGAGGAAGUUCCCAAUGGGAAUCAGUCCCCACUCCUGCACUGCAAGCACAGCACUGUGAACCUUUUGGGGUGACAUUUGGCAAAAACAGAAGUGGAGGCUGAAUCUGCUCUGAAAGCCACAGUGUAGUUGCAAGCUUGGUCUGGCAAGGGGAUUUCCUGCACUUGCACAUCCCAUCCUAGCACAGGAGGUCUGACUGGAGAAAGCUGUGGGAUCCCAUUCUGAUAGAGAACCACACUGUCUGUAAAGCUGCUCACCUACCUCUGCCAAAAUGAGAAUCCUGAGCCUAAGCAUUGCAGGAAGCCUCAAGAACACAGAAUAAAUCCAACCUCACAAUUCACUGGAAUUAAGAGGUGGAGUGUUUCCUACAGGUUUUAUGUCUGGUAUGAUUUAUUAUUUAAUUUAAACACAUAAUUUCCAGCAGUUUCGUUUUGCAAGCAAUCACCUGGGCUAUGUUAACCUGAUAGUGACGUACUGCUGUCCUGGGGUGCCCUGGGAGAGAGAGAGCAAGAGCAUAGCACUCAGAGGUGUGAUCUUCCCCUGUUUAUCUUGAUGGGGUGCACACAACCUUGGCAGAGAAGCGAGUCCAAACAACUUAACCAUGUCACUGCCAGAUGCUGCUGUUGAAAGGGCUGGUGGUACAGCAGUAUGAGCUGUAUGGGCCAUGUCAUUUCUCCACUCAGAUCCUUCCAGCACCAAGGGGU
rnacentral:lncRNA from 7 species